rnacentral:rRNA from 1 species
UGGGGAAUAUUGCACAAUGGGGGAAACCCUGAUGCAGCGACGCCGCGUGAGUGAAGAAGUAUCUCGGUAUGUAAAGCUCUAUCAGCAGGGAAGAAAAUGACGGUACCUGACUAAGAAGCCCCGGCUAACUACGUGCCAGCAGCCGCGGUAAUACGUAGGGGGCAAGCGUUAUCCGGAAUUACUGGGUGUAAAGGGUGCGUAGGUGGUAUGGCAAGUCAGAAGUGAAAACCCAGGGCUUAACUCUGGGACUGCUUUUGAAACUGUCAGACUGGAGUGCAGGAGAGGUAAGCGGAAUUCCUAGUGUAGCGGUGAAAUGCGUAGAUAUUAGGAGGAACAUCAGUGGCGAAGGCGGCUUACUGGACUGAAACUGACACUGAGGCACGAAAGCGUGGGGAGCAAACAGGAUUAGAUACCC